CACACACACACACACACACACACACACACACACACACACAACUUUUUUUGUACAGUGAAAUCUGUUUUGGUGUACAGUGAAAUGUUAAUAACGUUUACAUUACAAUUGUUUUGGGCGGAAACUGAAACAAAACAAGUUUACUAGCUAAAUAUGCCGAACAAUUAUAUUCAGUGUUGUGUAAAUGUCCUAGCAUGUCAAUGUCCCAGUGUUUAGGAUUUAAAUAGACCAAAAUUCCUUCAUUUUUCUUUGUUUGUUAAACGUAUUCAGUCUUUAAAGUUCUGCUACGAAAAUCUUAUGUGUCCUAAUAGUAUACACAUGUUCUUAUUAAUCUAAUGGUUUUGCCCCAAGGGAAAUGAAUGUACACAAAUCUGACAAGGCUUCUGAUCUGUAACGUGUGUAAUAAAGUCUUAUCUUAUCGA